UACGAAGGGUGCAAGCGUUACUCGGAAUUACUGGGCGUAAAGCGUGCGUAGGUGGUUCGUUAAGUCUGAUGUGAAAGCCCUGGGCUCAACCUGGGAAUGGCAUUGGAUACUGGCGACCUAGAGUGCGGUAGAGGGGUGUGGAAUUCCCGGUGUAGCAGUGAAAUGCGUAGAUAUCGGGAGGAACAUCUGUGGCGAAAGCGGCUACCUGGCCCAUUCUUGACGCUGAGGCGCGAAAGCUAGGGGAGCAAACGGG
rnacentral:rRNA from 1 species